rnacentral:lncRNA from 1 species
ACACAAACAUGUAGCAUAAAACAUAGCUCAGUAUUUCCAUUAUUUAUUUUAUAUAGUCAUUUUUGUCAAUAAUUACAUACUCCAAUGUAUGUUUUAGCACCUCUAUUUCAUUAAUGUGUGUGUGUGUGUGUGUGUGUGUGUGUGUGUGUGUGUGUUUGUGUUUCAGUGUGCAGUCAAGCGAGAAGGUGAAGAAAGAGGCCCUGGAUCUUUGUCUGAAGUAUGGCUUUGUGACUCCUCUCACCUCCAUGGUGGUCACCAAGCCCCAGGGAGAAACCUCACAGGUGGCCCACAAGCCCAAGAAGGGGGCGAACCCCACCAUGAGCCACCACCAUGGAGUCCCCAUGUGUCUCUGAUCCUACUGGACAAGGCGAUGGACAUCAUCAUAGGGUUAACACCGAUCAUCAUCAUGCUCUACAAGGGGAAUGGAAUCAAGUUCAUGUGGCCUGUCCUGAGGCAGCGCCCGACAGGAGACAACAUUAUGGGGAUCAUGGCCCAUCCACCUGUUGCUUAUGAGGAGGUCCAGGGAACAACAAUGAAACUGAAGAUGAAGGACAAAGAAGUAGACGUCUCCAGGUAAGUACAACGGUCUGUCAGAAAGAAACGUCAUUUAUAGUGAUUAGACUGUUCAUAGGUUGUGUAUGUUAUUAAUGUGUAUAUCUAUGAAAGAUGUGUAUUUAGUCUAUUUGAGCUUCUAUUUAUGAGAUUAUGAUUGAUCCAUGUGGAAUCAGGGCAAUUUGUAAUAUUCUGUACGUGAAUCAGUGAAACGUGUCUUGGAUGAUGUAUAGUAAUAUACAUCUUUCUGUGGUUGUUGUGCUGCAACAACAAAGGAAAAUUAUGUUGGGAGGUUAUGGGAACUAACAACAAAGGUUAGUUGAAUUUACAAAGCAGGUUAGGUGAUUUCGAUAUGGUUUAGAAUAACGGUUUGGCUAAGGGUGGGGCUAACUCCAACAAUCAACCUUUGGAAUGCUAGACCAACGACUAAAACCAAAUAGAAACUUUACAGAAAAGAUAAUGGACCGAUAUAUUUUUAAAUAAUAGCCUAUUAUCUUUGGGAAUUUACAAUCACCUAAAUAAAAGCUAGAAAAUUAGGCCCCCAUUGAUUUUGAUAUAAUGUUUGAGCAAAAGAAAACAAUUAUGUCAAAAUGCGUAAAAUUGCAGGACAUCAGCUUAAAAAUGGCAAAAUGUUGUCUCAUCUCCAUAGCAGAAUGUAUAUGAUUGCAAGAAAAUGACUUUAAAAGGGCAACAGUGUCUUUCAACAUGUGAAAAUGUAUAGAAUUGUUUUCUCUGCUGCCAAGAUGACAGUCUCAUAUCUUCUUGCCCAAGAUUUGAGGCGGACAGAAUAAAGCGGCACAGAUGACCCACCAGGCUUAUUGCCAUGCCACCUGCCUGUCCCACCACCUAAGCCCCUUUUUGAUACAGAGAAACCCUGAAUUGUUACCAAUAAUUUCAUAACUAUGCAGUACAUUUCUUUAAAUUGGUCACAAGAAGACAUACUCAAAUCUACAUUCAGUUAAAUGUUUUGAGGAAGAGGGUAUUAUUCAUCUAAUUUUUACUUAUUGUUUGGUCUGUUUGUUUUUCACUGCUCAGGCCUUAAUAUUUAGUAUUUUAUUAGGAUCCCCAAUUAACUGUUGCCAAGGCAGUGGCUAUUCUUCCUGGGAUCCAAAAAGGAAACAAACAAAAAACAACAAAUGAAAUACAUAAUAUACAUAACACUACAUUUACAUCACACUUUAGUCAUUUGCCAGACGCUCCCAUUACAUAAUACAAUACCUCAGGGUGGGUCGAGACUCAAAAGACAUCUCUGUUAGUUGGUCACGAAGCAUAACAGUUUGGGAACCCCAGUGCUACUGUAGACGGUCGCGGAUUAGGCUCGUUUUGUAUUUUGUUGUUUUUUCAGUGUCAUUUAAAUAAAAGUAAAAUGUACGCCUACCACGCUGCACC